UUGGGGGGGGGGGCACCCGCUUAUUUGCAUAACAGUCCUUGCUCCCGUCCCCGGCGCUCCCGAAAAUGAGAUUGAGCAUCAGGUGGCAAAUCCCGUCGAUCAAACUCCAGCGCCUCGCUCAGCUCGGGAACCCGAGGAAACCCCUCUGCAACCAUCUCGACCAGAUCUGCAACCAGAUCGAGGUCAAUUCUCCUCCGGCGGCGGGAGAGUGGAGAGAAUUAACUGGAGUGACACGAAAUGGAAGCAGGAGGAUGAGGCAGAGAAUUGCAAGUCCCCUGUCAGUGCCGUGAUGGUGUGCUCCAGGCCGAGGGUCUCAGAGACAGG
rnacentral:lncRNA from 12 species